AGAAUGGAACAUGACAACAGCGAAGAUGACGACAGCAGAGACACCUCCAAAGAAAUGCCCUAGAGCCCUUGGGCCGUCACGCUUCAGGAAUGUGCGUGAGCUACUUUUGAUCUCCUGGCUUCUGCCCCCUACCCAGCUGGCAGGGCAUUGUGCAGCACCCUUUCCAGCCCACCUGGGUGCAGGAGAUCGAGGAAGAGAGCAUCUGCCAUCCAGCUCCAUCCCAUCUAGAGCAAUUCCAGGAUGGAGUGGCUGAAGCGGAUGCUGAGGAGGAAGCCUGGGCAGGUGGCUCUGGAGCCAGUAGGGAGCAGCGUCUGUCUUGCCCAGGAGGAGAGUGGCCC